AUUGAACGCUGGCGGCGUGCCUAACACAUGCAAGUCGAGCGGUAACAGGUGUAGCAAUACAUGCUGACGAGCGGCGGACGGGUGAGUAACGCUUGGGAAUCUGCCUGUUAGUGGGGGACAACCCGGGGAAACUCGGGCUAAUACCGCAUACGCACUACGGUGGAAAGCCGGGGACCGCAAGGCCUGGCGCUAACAGAUGAGCCCAAGUCGGAUUAGCUAGUUGGUAGGGUAACGCCACCAAGGCGACGAUCCGUAACUGGUCUGAGAGGACGACCAGUCACACCGGAACUGAGACACGGUCCGGACUCCUACGGGAGGCAGCAGUGGGGAAUAUUGGACAAUGGGCGAAAGCCUGAUCCAGCGACGCCGCGUGGGUGAAGAAGGCC
rnacentral:rRNA from 1 species